GAACGCACCUUGCGCCCUUUGGCUAUUCCGAAGGGCAUGCCUGUUUGAGUAUCAUGAACACCUCAACUCUCAUGGUUUGCCAUGAUGAGCUUGGACUUUGGGGGUCUUGCUGGCAUACAGUCGGCUCCCCUUAAAUGAAUCAGCUUGCCAGUGUUUGGUGGGAUCACAGGUGUGAUAACUAUCUACGCUUGUGGCUUUCCGCCAAGUAACCUUCAGUGAUGGAGGUUCGCUGGGGCUCACAAACGUCUCUCCUCAGCGAGGACAGCUUUUUGAACGUUUGAUCUCAAAUCAGGUAGGGCUACCCGCUGAACUUAAG
rnacentral:misc_RNA from 1 species